AUCGCCAUGACUCAAACGCUUACAGGUCCUAACUGUCAAUGCGACUCUCUAGUAUGCCUGAAACACUAAAAUGAAACACAAAUAAGCAACAACAGAAUAUAACACCACAGAAUAACCCUUAAUAGGAGCCCCACUCCUAUUCUAUUACCUAAUGAUGAGAACGACAACAUAGUACCCAUACUGUCCAUUUCUCACUUCCUUCGCAUCUGACACAAUAGUGAUAACUAAAUAUCCUUGCAGCCGCCUCUACGCCUUAUACCAUAAUUAGGACCCUCCUGAGUCCAUUCGAAGUCCCCUCCC
rnacentral:lncRNA from 1 species